GACGAACGCUGGCGGCGUGCCUAAUACAUGCAAGUCGAGCGAACAGACGAGGCGCUUGCUCCUCUGACGUUAGCGGCGGACGGGUGAGUAACACGUGGAUAACCUCCCUAUCAUACUGGGAUAACUUCGGGACACCGGCGCUAAUCCCGGAUAAUAUAUUGCUCCGCAUGGUUCAAUAGUGAAUGUCGGCUUUGCUGUCACUUCUCGAUGGAUCCGCGCUGCUUUAGCUAGUUGGUAGGGUAACGGCUUACCAAGGCAACGAUGCGUAGCCGACCUGUGAGGGGGAUCGGCCGCACGAGAACUGAGACGCGGACCAGAGUCCUACGGGAGGGAGCAGUAGGGAAUCGUCGGCAAUGGGCGAGAGCCUGACAGAGCAACGCCGCGUGAGUGACGAAGGUCUUCGGAGCGUGAAGCUCUGUUAUGAGUGAAGAACAGAUGUGGAAGGAAAUAUGGACGUCUUGACGGUACCUAGUCAGAAAGCAACGGCUAACUACGUG
rnacentral:rRNA from 1 species